CGUGUAGGCGGCCCAUCAAGUCAAAUGUAAAAUACAACGGCUCAACCGUUGGCCUGCGUUUGAAACUGAAGGGCUAGAACUUGGUAGAGGGUGAUGGAAUUCCCGGUGUAGCGGUGAAAUGCGUAGAUAUCGGGAAGAACACCAAAGGCGAAGGCAGUCAUCCAUACCGAAGUUGACGCUGAGGCGCGAAAGCGUGGGGAGCAAACA
rnacentral:rRNA from 1 species